UCGGCUCUGCAGCAACACCCGCGUGGUGUCAAGUAACAGUCAGAUUAAACAAACAGCCCCAGAGGCUAUUUUUACAUCCAGAUCAGCCACGAGUAAUAGAUAACUUGGGAAGUGAAAAUUGUUUGCUGAUUAGCUGGACCCUCACCACGAUUCCAGCCUCAGCUCAGAAUGAUUCCUAAGGCUAUCCCAGAACCUAGAUUCGAAUAAAAAUAUCUCAAGAUGGGAAGGAAAACAUUUGUCUUAAGAAACGCUAGGAACAUGAUAGUGUACGCCUUGGAGCCAGUGCCGGAGGCCUGCUGAUGUCCCAGAGCAGAAAUAGCCUGUUUCAUCAUCGGCUCUGGACAACCACAGCCCGCAUUCCUCGAGUAAGGAGCUAUACUCUGCCAUGGUUUUGGAGCAAGAUAAUCUGGCCAGCCACAGGCUGGGGGAAGGCUGGUCCUUUCAAGGAGAGACGUGCAAAAGGAUGUGAAAUUAUCAGGGAAGAUGCAAGGUGGCAAGCAUGACCUCAUGUCUGCUUUGGGAUCACAGAAACAGUGACCGGUGCUCCGAGGCAAGAGCAGAGAUGGUUUGCUCCAAGUGGUUGACUGACAAGAGACCAGGGGAACCUUCAGGGGGGCCAGGAGUGACAGGCAGCUUUGUCAACAAUGCUGGGAGAGAAACAUCUCUCUAGCAAGAAUCUCUGAGCACGCUAACCAGACCACAGCUGAGCACCCCGGAAUCCACCUGCUCCAGGAAAAGUUUCCAUCUUCCAAAAGCUAUGGAUCCCAUAUCUUAAUUAGUUACUUCGGGUACACUGACAACAGAGCACCCCCAGCAAAGACAACAGUUGGGCUUUGGAUCAAGAACACAGGGUCUGCAUAGCCCAGAGCUGGCAUGGUUCCUGGGGUCUGGCCAAGAAGAAGUGACCACUGUCUUCCAGCCCAGGAGCCAUGAGCUGCAUGGAAAGAAUGUGAAUGAAGACACCAUUCUAAAUGUAGACUCAUGGGUGCUAUGUGAGCCACCGUGCUUUGAAUGGUCUAGAAAAACAAGGCUUGCUUGUCCGUCCACCAGGAACAUAAAUAAAGUUGUCCUCAGACAGUGUGUUACCAUGUCCCAUCCCUGCAAAUGACAGCUCAUAGCAGGAGAAGACUAUCUGCUUAAUGGUGGGAGCAAAAAUGGCCGAGCUGUGUCCCUGAUGCACGUGAUGAUCGCUAGCUUCAUCUUACAGUAACUUCAACCUGUGCCGUGACUGUGUUAAUUAGACAUGGUUAAAGUCUGGGAACAAGGGCCUUGCACAAUGGCUUCUAUAGUUGGUUUUUGGCACUCACAUCCCUGCAAAGAUUAUGAGGUAACUCAUCUGAUUCU
rnacentral:lncRNA from 1 species